rnacentral:rRNA from 1 species
GGGGGAACGGGAAGGGAGGGGAGGAGCGAGAGCCCUGCGUCUAGCUGCUACCAUUACGCUCUGGAGCAGUGGAGCGAAUUAGACGGACCGCCACAGUUAAUGUGGAGGAAGGAAGGGGCCACGGCAGGUCUUUUUGCCCCGAAACCCUAGGGCUACACGCGGGCUGCAAUGGUAUUGACAAUGUGUUCCGAAUCCGAAAGGAGGAGGCAAUCAUCAAACAAUAUCUCAGUUAUGACUGAGGGCUGUAACUCGCCCUCACGAAUAUGGAAUCCCUAGUAACCGCGCGUCACUACCGCGCGGUGAAUACGUCCCUGCUCCUUGCACGAAUUCGCCG